AGCUACUAAACCGAUAAAGCACAAUCAGCUCCCCUUGCUAGGAAGUGACAAAUGCGCCUUAGGGCACGGUAUCGAUGAUGUGCGGAUCACGGUCUCUAACGGCGCACAGCGGGGCCAUUAUCGUGUGUUGUCACCGCGUGCCAUUAAAAGGACUUUAAUCUGCCGAUCGCCGCCGCGAUACGCGGCUCCUGCCAGGGAUCUACCGACUAACAGGCCGGGACGCUGCGAAACCCCCCAGCCCCCAGGGUCGCCUGAAAAACACGGCCCGGCUCCCCCGUCAGUCAAUCGCGGCAACUCAAUUAAUGCAUCUGGGUCAGGAAAAUGGUUUGCGGGAGCCUGAGCCCGGUUACGAAACGCGGAUACCGCGGCGGGUACCGCGGGCGGCGGCGGAGGGCAGCACCCGCUGAGCCCAGUUCUGAAUAACAGCACCACAUUCUGUCCUAGUGUCCCUGGAAUACCUGGGCAUUUUCUUAAGAUUUCUCCUACAUCUGCCCUGAAGUAAAUGCAAGCAGAACUGAGGAAUCUCAGCCUCUUCUCCAGUGCUGGCAGAAGUUGCCUCUUGUCAUUGCAGGUCUGGUAAGAGACUGGUCAGCCUGGCCACCUGCAAGGCUCUGCCCAGCCCUUUACCUCGUCUCUGACAGCAGCCACUGGUAGGUAUGUGGGGAGGGACCCUAACAAACCUCUUGCCUGGGGUGCUCCUAGUCCACUGACCCAGCUGCAGACACUGGAUUAUGUGUGUCAGCCAUAAGAGCCCUGAAGCAACACUGUUCCCCUCCUUUUGGCAGAGACCACUCCAAAGAGUUACAGUUUGCAAACAGUAUUGAAAAAGUAUCAUGCAGCUAUUUAAGCGGAAUGGGAAUCCUGAAUGUCCUCACCUUAUGGACAGAGGGAUGGGGAAAGCUCAAGUGUGAGGGAGGUGGACUGUGGCCAACAUGGAUGCUGCUGAGGGAGGUCACUGUGUGGAACUUCUGCUGCAGUGGAAAGGGAUGUUGUGUUAGCGUGACACAACAGCAUAGGACGAGGCAAAGCGCUGUAGGAUGAGGGUCACAUCAGGACCUGCUAAUUCUGCUACUAACCUUGGGGUACAACUGGCAGGACCUGAUUCUCAGUGGGAGGAUGAAAGAAAUGGGAGGAUAUUCUGGGAUACCCAGAGCAAUCUUUACUUUACACGGUACAGAGGACAAGGGACAAUGCGAAGAACGCCACAGAGGCCACAGUCAGACCAAGAGCUCUUUGAUAAAUAGCCACACUCAGGGUGGAAAACUGAGACCAUGCACACAGUGAAAGGAAUUUGAGGUACACGGCAUGAAUUUUGAGCCAAUGUGUUUUCUAUAGGUUUCCUUCUCCUCCUCUAAACAGUGGCUCUUCACUUCUUCAGAAAACAAGAUGAUUGAUUUUUAAAGCUGCCAUGCAAUUUACUAUAGCGAGUUAGUGAUAGAAGGAGAAAAAAUUACAACACAUUAGUGUUUUGGCAAGUAGAAUUAGACUGUAUAAAGCAAUAACAUUAGAAAAACCAAUUAAUUGCAGAUAAAGUCUAUGACAACAAGUCUUCAAACAACCAGAGAAUACAAGGCUGGUACUUAGAGCACAUCUUGUGCCCACCUCAGUGCCACUGCAGGCAGAGGUCUUGAUUUUUAAGGAUAGCCUGUUGCAUGUUUUACACAAGUAUCUGUUACAUGAGCACAUUAAAGAUCUAGCUCCAGCUUAGAUGCCCUUUUUCUGGAGCAGAUGUGAUGCUUCCUGUGAUGGUGGGAAAUGGAGUGGAUGUGAACUGCUCACUCAGAUACUGCUUGUUUCUUGGAUGAGCAGCUUUUCUUCCCUCACAGAGGAUUUUUCUGCUUUGCACCCACAUCCCUUCCUUCAGGAGGAGCAAACUUAGCACUGUUUCCUGGAGACACCCAUUGCUGGUCUCUCUCAAGUUCCUUCAGUUAGAAGCCUUGUGUCCUCCACAAACACACAACAAUUUCCUAAGCCAUUGGGUGAUGAGCCAUGUUCCUCUAAGCAGAGGAGCAGCAAAUGCUUGUGGACUCUGUGUCAGGCUUACUAGCUGUAACAAGCACUACCUGUCAGGCCCCUAACACACCCUCCUAUCCUUCCCAGGCUCUUGAAUGCCUGGGCUCGGGGCCAGCUUAGGUAAGGGUUGCAGGUGUCACAUCUUGAAUCAAAGGUUUGAGAAAACACUGUGAGAAGUCUUGGUGGGAAUGGCCACUCUUCCCUGAGCUUUUAAGCUGAGCACUCUACCUGUGCUCUUUGCCUAAACUACCUCUGUAGCUACAUCACAGACAUGCCUGUGCCCAUUCCUGUGCUCCAGGCUGACCAUCCACCCGAGAUGGACUCAGCCCAAGAAAUGCAAGAAGCAUACAGAGCUUGUUCACAAAUCCUCCCUGGCACUGGAAACAAAGCACCAUACGCUCGAGCAGCCAGAGCAAAAGGAUGCAUCCAAGGCAAAGGGAGUCAAGAACAGAAGGGCAAGGGAGGUACACAGGGAAGGCACCAGGACAUCUUUUUCAUGAUUCCCCUCCUCCUCCUUAUGGCCACUGGUGGGUAACACCAGGGGGUGCCUCUCUGACUUCACUUUCUGACAUCCUGCCCCUAAGGUGGCUCUUUAUGGGCAGCUUCCCCUCUCUUACUGUUUUUGGACAUCAUCACUUUUCUCCUCUUUACCUUAGGUUUUCCCAACCCCUUGCUGUGUUAGCUGCCUGCCCAGCCCAGUGUGCAGGUGAAACCAACAGCUGUAUCAGCAACAAGCAUUGGGAGCGAGAUCCUGUACGUGUGCCAUUGUCCCCAGAACAGAGCAUGGCAGGCAAGCCCCCACCCCUCUGUCACUGAUGCAUAAGUCACAAAGGUCACCUGCAUCACUGGUCUGUCACACUGGGUGUGCUGGCUCAGACUGUAGAUAUUCAGAGUUUUAAUUAACAUGGAAACAAGUAGGGCUUUCUUUUUUGAACAUGUAUAGUUGAGGCUGAUAAAGUUUUGUGUCAGUUUAUUAUUUUGUGUGAGCUUAUUGCCUUUGAGAUGUGUGAUUUCCAACAGGUAUACUCGAGUCUGAUAAAGUUUUGUAUCAGUUUAUUGCCUUUAAAAUGUAUGAUUUUCAUGUUUGUCCUGAAUUGUAUCUGUUAACAUUUCUUCUGUUCCUGGAUAACCAACAGAAAAAUGCUUGUAUUAGGAACAGAGAUAAAUGGUUUAUUGACUCAUUUGAAAUAUCUUUUUUUUAUGAUAUAAAGUCACUUAUACUCAAUAUUCAAUCUCAUAUGGCAAAAGAAAACAUAAAAAAGGGACAGCAUAAACAUCAGCACUACAACACAUCAUGAAAAUUAUCUCCGAAGAACCCCCUACACUCUCCAGCUCCUCAUAGGGCUUCUGACCUGGUCAAGAGUCAUAGAUCUGUACUGGAACAUCCCAUGUCUUCCUACCAUCAUGCUCACCUCAUGGAUGAGGGAUGCAAAGCAUGCCUUCAGUCCCUGGGAAUCACUACAGGUGUCCCAGUGACACUUGUGUUGAAUUUCCACUCUGGGGCAGAAGAAUUCAGCAAGUCUCUUAUUCGUAGCUUUGAUGCCUGAGAAUCUACAGGAUUUGGAAAAUGAAGUCUCUCUGACUCUUCCCUUUUUCAAUUUCAGUGUUUUCCUUCCACCUUGCAUUUUGUAGUCCUCUCUGAGGCCCAACCCAGCCUGCAGACCUGUGCAGGAUCUUUUAUCCCACAGACCACCUUUGGGGAGGUUGUCACGUGGCAGUUGCACAAUGAGCAGGACAAAAUAGUCACACAGGGAGUGCACUACGGAUGUGGUACCGUACAGAAAGACCUCACCAUUUCCAUGCAGGAAUAAAAGAACCAGGUACACCUUUCUAGUUUUGAUGCAGGAUUCGGUUUUUAGCACCUGGAUAACAUUACUGACCUCCAGAGCAUUGCUGUAGACUGUGAAGCAGUACCAAAUAAAAUGCAAAGUUCUACAUUUACUUUCUCCUGAAGAUUUUUCUGUCAAACUGGGUCAACUUCUAAGUAAAGCAAGAGAGCAUUUUAAUCUGUCAGCACUUCAAAACCAGACUGGUACUUGAAAAUUACUUCUGGGCUUAAAAAUGUUAUGGACUCUGAAUUUGGAAGGCAGUAUUGUUGGUGCAUAAGAUCUAAUGGUAUAUAAUUCAAAACCUGAUCUUUUCUGAUCUUAGCUGACAAUUAUUUUAGCGAAUGUUUGCUUUGAUGAGGUUUGGGGGUGAUAUGAGCAAGUGAAAACUCCAUGAAGAUAUCUUAGCUAACACUGAAAAUGAAAAACUAAACCAACAUCCCCCCAGUUUUUUAAUCAGUAGUGUUUGCCACCUUUAAAAAAAUACAGUAUAUUAUAGGCGUGGAAGCAGAUCAUAAAACUGCUCUGCCCAGAUCUGCAGGGGAAUCAAACAGAUGGCAGAUCCCACUGCAGUUUGGAUGAAGAUUUCAUAGCUAGAUAAUCAAGAAAAUAGUAAAGUGGUUUCAAAGUCAGCGAUGAGGUGAAAAACAGAUUUUCUUCAGCUAGGAGCAUCUACAGCCUUUCUCACACAUUUAGAGGCAAUGCACCAAACUCAGAAAUUCCUUCACUACCAAGAGCAAAAGCCCUCAGUGUAAGAAUAUAUUGCUACAGGGGAAAAUUUUCUUGGUCAACUAGCUUUUUUAAAAUUAAAAUUAAAACUAUUAUUUUCAAAUAGUUGUGCAUGACUAUUUAUGUGACUGUAUGUAAGUAUGUUUUUUUAAAUUCAAUUAAACCUACAGGUGGUCAUACACCAGAUUGUAAAUAAUAUUAAUUAUCAAUUUUGGCAACCAAAAUUAUUUUCAAAUAAUGAUUAUUGUUAUUGAAUUUGUUCUGAGACCAACAUGCAUGUAGAGCUGUUGGCAGAUGAUUCUUUUCCUCUGUGCUUGUGUCUUUUAUGCCCUCACAAAUCCCUGAAUUACGAAGUUAUAGCUUUAAAUGGAAAAUAUCCUCCCUGAU